rnacentral:tRNA from 2 species
GGAGAGUUGUCCGAGUGGCCGAAGGAGCAUGAUUGGAAAUCAUGUAGAUGGGUAACCCUGUCUCAAGGGUUCGAAUCCCUUACUCUCCG